UACGUAGGUGGCGAGCGUUAUUCGGAUUUAUUGGGCGUAAAGGGUCCGCAGGGGGUUAGAUAAGUUUGAUGUGAAAUCUCGAGGCUCAACCUCGAAACUGCAUUGGAAACUGUCUAACUAGAGUACUGGAGAGGUAAGCGGAAUUCCUGGUGUAGCGGUGGAAUGCGUAGAUAUCAGGAAGAACACCGAUGGCGAAGGCAGCUUACUGGACAGUCACUGACCCUCAUGGACGAAAGCCGGGGUAGCGAAAAGG
rnacentral:rRNA from 1 species